rnacentral:lncRNA from 1 species
GCAUGGGACUACACUAAUGGUUAGUUUUUUGUACUACUUCUAAUAACUAGUUUUUGCUUCUAAUAGCUAUUUCAACUCUUCCAAUGGCCAAGACUCAUUCUUAGAAAACUUUCAAGCCUUUUAAAGGCUAGAGAAUUAAUUGGAAAGCAACAAGAGAGGAUUGAAAAGAGAAAUCAAUCAAUUUGUGAGAGCUUUAUUG